rnacentral:lncRNA from 1 species
UCUGAAAAAAUGGCAAUUCAAAUAAGGAUCUGCAAGAGAAAUGAAGGCAACAUUGGCAUAACUUGAUUAGCCAUUACAUUUCAUUUGUCAGGUUAUUUAUAUUUGAAACAUGUAGUGAACUCAUUAAUCAGAACUAAUCACACAAUUUGGAACCCAUUUAUUUUUUAUUUUUUUCAGUUGUUACCUUAUUUGAUAAAUACGAUGGAUC